ACAGGCAGUGCAAAACUACACAAUGUUCUUUAAUAUAUCUAUGUUUUUAAAAGCCUUGAUGCGAUCGUGCGGUUUAAACGUUUCCGCCUUGCAGUUGCGAAAUAAGAAAGCGGGACAUCUAUCCUAUCAUAUUCUUUGCUGUUUUGUUUUGCUAGUAGCAAAACAAAGUCAGACAGGUGGAAAACAAAUGGACGAUGAGUGUUUGAUCAGUAGUCGAGUAAAGCGGUCGCAUAGGAACUGGCCGGCCCUGUCGUGUUCCACCUUACCAGGAUGAGAUAUUUGUGUGUUGCGCUUUUUUUUAUUUUGCCAAGACAUUUGAAAAACAUAUCGAAUAGCACAUGCCAUUUUGAUUAAACUCCAUGCAGUUUUGGCGACACAUGCAGUCCGUCCGGCUCCGAAAAAUUGCGUUUCAGCGCUCGAAAAAGAUCAAGGCUUGAAGUGAAUUGAAGGGAUUCUUCCCCGCUCUGGUGUAUAAUUUCGGAAUGGCUCGUAAUUGGACGCAAUUUCGACACUGUUUUGAAGGGCUCGAAAUGAACAGCAGGAAGCACAAAGGGACAGAACAAGUACCGCGGGACUCUGAAUACGGUGCGCUGUUUAACGCACUGUAAUGCACGUACUCCGUCUGCAGUCAAUGAAUCAGUUACAGUAGCUGCGUUUCAACAUAAGCGCAGAUGUUGGCAAAACAAAUUUAUUUCUUGCCAUCCAACUCGCCAAGGUUGAAGCCAUUUUUACUUCUCUGCGUCUGGCCGCUUGUCUUAUAGCUAAAAGAGAAACAACAGGCCCGUCUUCAACAGGUCGAUGGCAUAUAGGCGUUCGCAUUACAGCCGAACAGCCCCCCACCAAAAAAAUGAACAUUUUUGAAUAUUUCGCCCGGGCAAACACGAGUACAUGUGGAGCCUUUUGCAUUCGAUCUGCCAUCAGAGUUCAAGGCUGCAAUGUAUACGUGAGGAAGAAAAAGAUGGAAAAAUCCAUAAUGGUUGUCUAAGUGGCUGAGAGAUGCGCACUUUUAUUUAUUUUGAAGGGGAGGUUGUUUAUGAUGACGGUAGUGACGCCAAAACCUACGCAACCAUUUUCUUUUUUCCCAGCCCAACCAAUCGUGUAAGCUCGAUAUAUACAUAUGCGUUUUUUCUUUUCCAUUUCCUUAGUCGGAGACGUGCUGUCAAUUAGCUCGUCGUAUUUUGUUUUGUGCGCAAUUUUUUUUUUUUUUCCUUUUCUGUCAUCGUUAAAAAAACUGCAAACGAUUAGUUUUUGGAUUUUUUCCUUAUUUGUUGUUAUGUCUUGCCAUAUGUUUUUUUAAAGAAUUUUCGUCCAGCCUGCCUCAGGUGAAUCGUUUCGAAACGAAAUGAGUUACACCUCAAGUUUAUUGUUUUUGCAGGUAGAUCAUAAAAGAGUGUGUGCAAAAAAAGAAUCCUCCAUUGAAAAUUCAAACAAUAACGACCGCAUUAAAAAACGUCUAAUUGUUUUAACCCAGUUCGUCCAAGUGCAAUUUCGAACGAGACGUUGACCCCCUGAAAAAGGAGAAUUUAAAAAGAUGUUGUCUCUGUUCAAAAUUGUAAUUGCGGGACUUGCAAUAUUUACGGAUAUUUACCUACGAAAAAAAAAAUUAAAGAAGAGAACCUCUUCAUAACAAACUAGAGACCUUGAAGCCAAAAAUGCAAAUGCGCCGAGGUUCGUAUACAGGAGCAUAUGCCGACUAUACACUAUAUUCAAAUGAAGCAAUGAACCGAAGCGCAAUUUAUUUACGUUGUUUUAUACACCGUAGAUGGGCCCGUCUAUCAGCAUCAUCUAUACCGAUUAUUAUAAGCAAAAAAAAAAAUAAUAUUUUCCUUGGCACAAUUUAUGGGGGAAUGAUGUGACAUGGUUCGCAAAAACAAACAAAAAACUCGUUAAAAUGGUUGCGCAUUUUUCACGACCAACAUCCAACUUUCUUGUUAUAUACCGUCGCUCGUAUAACAAUGCUAAAAACUGUGUUCUCUGGCGUUUAGAAGUCAGACAACGACUGGUUUUCAUUGUGCAAAAGAAAACGCUUCGGUCAAAGUCGAUGUCGGCAGCGCGUUAUAAAGUACCUCUAUACCAUAUUGGGUUAUGAGCAGUCGUGAUGAAACGGCGAUCUUUCUUUUGACACUCAAAGAUAAUUCGCCUUUUCAGCUUUAAAUAUUGCGCGCUAGAAGGCGAAAUAACAAAAGAAUGCGACAUAUUGUAGCGAUGGUACACCAUCGGCCUUCGUAACAUAAUGGAUCCCCAUCGGCGCAAUUAUAGACUUCUAAUCUCCAUCACUUUGAAUUUAAACGUCGGCAUUUAUAGGGACCGGGCCUAAUAAAUGGCUUGAUCGCACCUCCAUGAUGAUACUGUUCUAGCACUUAAAAUUUUUUUAAAAUGAAAAAGAGCUAAAUGAAGUAGGAUAACAUUUGUUGGCUUCUACCUGUAUACUUUCAGGCGCCGUGGUGAUGGACAUUAAUGCAACAGACAGGGCCUGGACGAUUAACAUUUCUGCACCUGCGGCAAAUCGAAGGGGGAAAAUGCAAAUGCUUGACUUGAGGUCGUAAUGAGGAAAACGCCGACUGUAAAUAAAUUGUCGUAUUUAUGCAUAGCCAAACAAACAGGACAGAACUCUAUCAAAGAGAGCCAACGGGCAGAGUAAUAAUCGAUUGUCUUGCCAAACUGAAUGGGAGACAGCCAAUAAUUUAUGCAUUUUUUUGGGUAAAAAACUUAAAACCUUCUAUCGGCCCUUGUUUUGCCAAUGCGAAUGAAUGAAGACGGUAAUGAGAAUUGAUGGUCAAAUUUUGAUUUGGGAUGGGCCUGUUGAAGGAUCGUCCCCAAAGUUGAUGUCGGACUGCUGUUGUCUGUAAAAUGAUCAUUUUUGGACGAAAUCCAAUCAACGUCCCGAGUGACCGCACUUUGCAUCCGUUUCAAGAUGAAGAAUUGAAAAGGUGUCAUUGCCAUGGCCAGCACACAAAAAUAUAUGCAACAUUUUUGGCUAGCCCUUAUUGCCUAUAAAAAUUCCAAACGUUAAAAAUCGCUUGUAACUUUCCAAACGAAAAAAAUAAAAGGCAAGUCUGGAACACAAUCCAACGUUUUCUUUUUCCUGUUGAAAUAUUAUUUUAUAGUUUUGCCUUUGCCAAAUUUUGUGCUGACUCAUUCAUUGGUUAGGAAAAUAGCAAAAAACUUUGGCUGGAUUUUAUUUUUUAUAGAUUUUGACUUGUCGUGUUACUCUGAUGUCCCGCAGUGCGUCUAGCAGCUUCUCGUGUGAUGUUGUCGAAAAAAAGGAUCGUAUUUGUCGCCAGACAACUCAAAAUAAAGUUUCAUGAUUGGAAAGAAUAAAAACUCUGAUUGCUUUUUAGAGAGAUAUGCUUUAUCCAAUGCUUAGAAAUGGGAGGCAUAUUUUUUAAAAAAUAAUGAUUUAAACGAAAGAAUGUUUGAAUCGUUGUCCAAGUCUUUUAUCCAUUUUCUUUUUCUUUCUUUUCUGAAGACAUAAUUUCUCGUGAUUUAUUCACGCACUUCUCCUAUAAACCAGCUGACUCACGUUUGUAUGGAAGAUGGCCAAACAUGUUACGGUUUCGGUUUUCCUUGUUAGUUUUUAUCAACUCGAUCUCAAGUGAAAAAAAACAACCGCGGAACAACGAAACGCAACCUAUCAUAAUUAUCGUGCACGGAAUACACUAAGAGGCGCGUCUAUUCGAAUUUUGAUUUACAACAGCCGGGCUUAUGUGUCUACAUGCCUAGUGGCUAUUACGUCUUGAAAUAAUAAAAGAGGGGUUUACAACUGCGAAAUUCAGCGUUAAGAAAAAAACACACUUCUAUAGUCGGCAGGUAGGGUCACCAAGUACAACAGAAAAAGAAGGUAAAGUAUCGAGUUAAUGAUGUGCAAUUUAGUGGGGUAGAGUAUCUAAAGUCAUCUGCUUGUAAAAAAGUGUAAAAUAGGUUUAUUUAAAUUACGUUCUCGGUCUUGUUUUAUAUACUGUACUUCAUUCAGCAGAUAGUAAACGUGUAAAAAACAAAAUUAAACAUUUGUUGAUAAGAUUAUGAUGGUUUUUAUUUUUGUAGCGGUCGCUUUCGUCUAGAAAGGAAAUUAUGCAAAUACAGGAGACGACUUUGUCUUUCUUUUUCUCUACUUUUCGUUUUGUUUUUUUGGUCGUUUUGUCGUAAUAUCUUACCCGUUCCCCUCAACUGUCCCAUUCCUUUGUUUUCUUUUAGAGUCUAACUACUUUUUAGUUGCCAUUCGCAUUACGCAAUUCGUACAAACAUGUCACGUUUUUAUUAGAGGAAGGUGUCGUUUAUGCAGUCUCGUACUGUACGUAUAGUUUUUAAGUAUAUCUAUAGACGUUGUAAAUGCAAAUUAAAUUUCAAAGAUCACACUUUGAAUUUUAUUCAUUCUGUCUCGUUAACUGCUUCCCUUCUCCAACAUCCGGAUUAAAAGAUGCAGAAUACAACGAACCCGACAUGUCAGCCAAUCUAAACGGUCAUAAAAAUGGAGGUUGCAGUCGGUCAGGUCAGACAGGGAAUCGGACGCUUGAAGGCCAGAUUCAUAGAGUCUUGUCAGAAGAAGAGAAAGGGAUGUCUGGUACGAGGGAGGCCACUGCGUGAGAAGCAGAAGGAUAACUUUGGUUUCCUGGUGCAGACUGGUACCACCACUUUCCCCAAGAGUUUUUUACCAGGAUUGCUGCACACUGUGGUCCAAACCGAUAAAACUGUCGCAGUUCAACGCUAAAUAUCCAAAAAAGGAGGGUGGAAGAUGGCAAGCAAGAGAGGUUGAACGUUGACUCAAGGAUUGCAGUGUGCUGUUUAUUUAUAUACUUGUGAUUGGUUAAUGUUAAAAAGGUUUAAAGCGUUCAGUUAACAAAUAAAUAUUCAAUGACCUGUUGAAUGUUUAAUCCCCGUGAUUGAACAGGUCAAAGUUAAAUCACAUCAGGGGAGUCACACAUUACUGUUUAAUUGACAGGGCACUAUCUGAAAGAAACACCAGAACAAAGAAAUCCAUCACCUGUCUAAUGUUGAACUGAAGGGAGACUUCAAAUUCAUUUGUCUAGACAGAAUCCAGUGUUGGCUGUGUCCGCUCCGGCGAAAGCUGGAACGGUUGGCACAUUUAAGGCUGCAAUCGCCGCUUCGGUGCUGUCUGUCCGGAUUACUUACUGCAAACUUGGACACUGGUGGCUGCGCCUGGCACUAAAGCAGUGCCUACUGCUGGAUUCAAAUGGUUUCCACAGUAACGGUCAGCUUCAACUCCAUUUGCAUCUCGAGCACCGGCGAUGAGAAGGAAAUCGUAUAAGCAGGUCGCAACAAGGGUAGUGCCAGCAGCACUAACGGUUGUACCCACGUUAGAGUUCGGAAAGGCGGCAUUAAUUUGGGCUGCAGCAACCGAAAUCGCACCAAUAUUAGUAUUUCCAACUACAACAGCUGCUGAAGUUGUGAUGGAGAAGGGAUCACCGGCAUUCGUGACCGAACAAAUUGACAAGCACAUCUGUGUUGCUCGCUACUCAUUACCAUUAUUCAAGAAUAAUUCAAACCUGUCCUGAAAUGAGCUCGGUUCGGAAGCAGAUGUUGUAGUUUUGAUUGUUGAGCUGACGAAUAGCGCCGCCAGUGGUAUCCUGCCAGUUAAACGAUUUCACUUUACCCGUAGAUGCCGUGUAAUACUGGAGGCAAUCUGUUGGGGCUAUAAAUCAAAACAAAACGAAAAGGAAAAUUGAUUUUUGAAAAAUUAACGAUGUGGUGGUGUAACGAAGACUAGUUUACCCAGGUAGGAGGCACCGCAAGGAAGCAAUGCGAUUUUGAUGUUCCAGGAACGUGUGGUUGUCCCUGUUCCAAAACUGAAUAUGAGCUGGACAUCGGUGGGAGUAAGGGCAGAAGACGGAACGUCCAGGAACUGCGUUAGUUUGCUGUUAUGUCUUUGGAUAUUACUGUGCUGCCCGCUGUUAUCGCCGCAAAUAAUGGGCACAGUUGAAGAUGAUCCGCCAGCUUGGAAAGUAUCAACGCAAGUUCCCAAUGUCGGUUGGGCUGUCGUGAAGGACACAAAGUCGAGCCUGAAUGAGAGUUGUAACGACAACAUUCCCAUCAUUUUCCUCUUAAGAUUAACAUUUUAAGCUGACCGGAUUUGGCAAAUGGGCUUCUUAAGCUGUUCCACAAACUUGGUGUCCAAUCUGAUGGUCAAUGCACAGGUGGAGGAGGCGCUAACGGGUGUAGUAGGAGACUGCCAGUACGUGUUGUUCAGCGUGACUGUACCGCCACACGCUGUAACCGCAUCUGUGAACCAAAGACGCAGGAACCGCUUGGUCGUCCACGAAACAAAGAGCAAACUGAUCCUGGGACGCAGAUUCCUGCGUCACCGCUAGGUGAAGUGCAGGCGUCGAAGGUGUCGAGAGGAUUGUCAAAAUUGGGAUUGUACGAAACAGGAAUUCUAUUUGCGAAAUUGGCGAACGGUCUCCACGUAUUCGCCGGUGAGAAACGAUUGUUGAAGAGGCCUGUGUUGAUUAUUGAGGCACCUAAACCACCGAGGGCAAACCGGCCUUCUGCUAGAUUGGCAUUCUCAUCGGCGGUAAUUCAAUGAUGGACUUACUACUAUUGUAAUAUUUCUUGUGUGGAUUGACUCUGGAUUGCAGGCUGCUGGAGACUGUUCGUCCUUCAUAUGGAAUGCCAUACCCUAAAAAAGCAAAACAUUUCAACCACGUAGGAAAAUAGCACAAUGAUCAUAGCCAUAAGCCUUAGCAAAAUACUCUUCUGAUUGAUACCUAGCAGCUGCUAAUUGUUCCUCUUCGUUACCAUCGUCACAAGCUCGGCUGACUUGUCCGAACAUCAAACCUACGGAAAGGAACAGACGUUUAUAGUUUAACGAAGACCUACGGAGACUGUGACGGAUCAACCGAGCUGGCCCAUCUUAUAUAGUCGAUACGGGUUGGACUGUCGACCCUAUAACUAUCCAUUAUGGUAAUUUGUCGUGCAGAGAUGGGAAAUGAUGAUCCUAGUGCAACAGAUUUGGCGAGGCCUGCUCAGAAAUUAAAGAAACUCAGCCCAAAUUCGGGAAUGGCGGUGGUUUCUGGCGGAUUAUGGGAUAAGUGAUGCUCUUUUGUAGGUGGAAGGGUACGAGGAAAGCCGCUCUGAAUAAAAAGCCAUUACAACUUUGAGCUUUCAAUCCAUAUUUUGAAAGGCAUUGACGCUUUCACGGGACCAAAAGUUCAAGGUAGGACGUUUCGUUUGCUGACAUGUUUUGGAGCGGGAUUUCAAGGAUAUAAGGAAUUCAUUUCAAUCUGCUUUGUCGCUUAACAGCUAUGAGACUCGGGUCAAUACCAUGAUGUAUAGAAUAACAGUGCUAAUCAACGUAAUUCGUCAAGUUGUGCACGAAAAACGGUAGGUAAAGGGGGAAAAAGUCCACGCAAUUCAAAACAUUUCCGGAAUUUCGACCGUACGUGACUUAAAGAAUGGGUAGGGGGUCAUUAAACAACACGUACGGCUGUUUUAGCAUGAAAACUAACCUACGAGUCAUUGGUUUAAUGCCAAUAAACUGCGAUUGGGAUAGUAAAUGGGACUUGCUGUACAUUCUGUCUAUCCCAAGUUGAAUGAGUUUCAAACGAUUCCAGCAGAAGUUUCAUCAACAAAAUUCUAGCAUAGUAAAGCCUUGAACACGCGGGGUUGAUUAUGUUAACGAUUUUAACGUAUCUGAUGUAGCAUCUAACGUAUAUUCAGUGUAGGUGUCUGAAAGGAGACUGUGAUGCAGUGGAAUAUAAGGCAGGAAAUCGCAUUGGAAACAGUUCUGCUGUGUUGAUUCAGCCUUUUAAACCUCUUUUGCUCUAUUUAAACUCGUGGUUGGAACUCUUCCAUCAAAAGUGAGUAGGCUACAUGUUUUUCACAGUCACGGUAAUCUACUGAAAACCCAUUUUAAAAACUCCAGCACCAGGAGACGAUUGCAAAAUCCGACGUUAAGCGUAUCCGCCGGAGCGGGAAGAACAUUGGUGGCGGCAGCCACAGCCGCUUCGGUGCUGUCGGUCCGGUAAUUCAUUUUGAAUGAUUUGAUAGGAGCUGUGUAACAAAGACAUUCAGCUCAAACUGACCCAGCAGCUGCCGGAUUGAGUGCGUUACCACAGUAACGGUCCGCCGCAAUCCCUGCCGCAUCUCGACCACCACCGAUGAGCAAAAAAUCGUACAUGCAGGUGGCUGUGGUGACGCCAUUCACCACAGCACUAGUGCCCACUCCGGAGAGAACGCCAGCAGCAGCAGCGGCUGUAGCAGCGUUAGUUUGAGCUGUUGCAAGAUUGGCUUGAGCGGUUGCGAGGGCCGCAUUAGCAGCCGUGAUAGUAGCUGCAACACCUCCCGCCACCGCCGUGGCUACGUUAGCUGUGGCAAUUGUUACUGCUGUUACUGCUCCCGUCACAAGAGCGGCAGCAGCAGCGGCAGCAUUGUUUGUCGGUGUUGUGAUAGAAAAAGCAUCGCCAUUGGUGACCGUACAAGCUGAUAAGCACACUUCCGUUGCACGCUAGGCAUGAAUUGAAUUUGAAGUAGUUGUAAUGUUAGUUGAAUGGCCUUUCUUUGUUAGCGGGUAUUUAUUAACAAAGAUGAUUCGUACCUGUCCUGAAAGCAGUUCGGUCCUAAAACAAAUGUUGUAAUUUUGGUUGUUGAGUUGGCGGAUGGUGGUAGUGGCCACGUCUUGCCAGUUAAAUGAUUUAACUUUACCAGAGCUUGUGGUGAAGUAUUGCAGGCAGUCGGCAGGAGCUUGAGUCAUAAUCAAGGUAGGAGGCACCGCACGGGAGCAUUGCGAUUUUGAUGUUCCAUGAACGCGUAGCUGUUCCUGUUCCAAAGUUGAACACGAGUUGGACAUCAGAGGGUGUGGUGGCAGACGAUGGCACGUCGAUGUACACUGUGUUUUUACUUACUGUGCUGUCCGUUGUUGUCUCCGCAAAUAAUUGGAACUGUAGAAGUUGAACCGCCGACCUGAAAAGUAUCUGUGCAAGUUCCUAGUGUCGGCUGGGCAGUCGUGAAAGAAACAAAGUCCAGUCUAGACGAUAAGCAAAUUCGAAUUGUUGAUUCAUUUAGCUGGGUUAAUCAACGAUGUGUCUUACCGAAUUUGGCAGAUGGGCUUCUUUAGUUGCUCCACGUACUUGGUGUUCAAUCGGACUGUCAGCGUGCAGCUGGAUGAAGCGCUAACGGCCGUAAUGGGAGACUGCCAGUACGUGUUGUUUAGAGUAACGCUUCCGCCACAGCCAGUGAUGGCGUCUGUUAAAAAUGGACGCAGGAACCACUAGGUUUGCCACCAAACAAGGAACAGGCCGAUCCUGGAACGCAAAUUCCUGACUCGCCGCUAGGUGAAGUGCAUCCGUCGAAGUCGUCGAGAGGGCUAUCGAAAUUUGGAUUGUACGUAAUAGGAAUUCUGUUUGCUAAACUGUUAAACGGUCUCCACGUAUUCGCUGGAGUAAAUCGGUUGUUAAAGAG